rnacentral:rRNA from 1 species
UACAGAGGGGGCAAGCGUUAUUCGGAAUUAUUGGGCGUAAAGGGCGCGUAGGCGGCUUUGCAAGUGACGGGUGAAAUCCCUCGGCUUAACCGAGGAACUGCCUGUCAAACUGCAUGGCUUGAGACCGGGAGAGGUGAGUGGAAUUCCCAGUGUAGCGGUGAAAUGCGUAGAUAUUAGGAAGAACACCAGUGGCGAAGGCGGCUCACUGGUCCGGUACUGACGCUGAUGUGCGAAAGCGUGGGGAGCAAACAGG